GAUGAACGCUGGCGGCGUGCCUAACACAUGCAAGUCGAACGGACAGAUGAGGAGUUUGCGCCUCUCACGUGUGGGGCGGACGGGUGAGUCACAUGUGUAUCACCUACCUAACAUACUGGGAUCACUACGGGACACCGGAUCAAACAGCAGAGAAUAUCUUGAAGCGUGUUGGGCAAUAGUCAAAGACGGUUUUUCUGGCACUUAUAGCUGGUUCCGAGCCGGAUUAGGUGGUAGGUCAGGUCACUGCUUACCAAGGCAAGGAUGCCUGAACGACCUGAGAGGGUGAUCGGCCACACUGGAACUGAGACACGGUCCAGACUCCUACGGGAGGCAGCAGUCGGGAAUCGUCCGCAAUGGGCGAAAGCCUGACGGAGCAACGCCGCGUGAGUGAUGAAGGUCUUCGGAUCGUAAAACUCUGUUAUUAGGGAAGAACAAAUGUGUCAGUAACUAUGCACGUCUUGACGGUACCUAAUCAGAAAGCCACGGCUAACUACGUG
rnacentral:rRNA from 1 species